GUCGAACGCUGGCGGCGUGCUUAACACAUGCAAGUCGAACGGAAAGGCCCUGCUUGUGUGUGGUGCCCGAGUGGCGAACGGGUGAGUAACACGUGAGUAACCUGCCCUGGACUUUGGGAUAACUUCAGGAAACUGGGGCUAAUACCGGAUAGGAGCUCCUGCUGCAUGGUGGGGGUUGGACAGUUUAGGCGGUUGGGGAUGGACUGGGGGCUUACCAGCUUGUUGGUGGGGUAGUGGCUUACCAAGGCUUUGACGGGUAGCCGGCCUGAGAGGUUGACCGGCCACCUUGGGCCUGAGGGACGGACCAGUGUCCUACGGUGGGCAGCAGGGGGAAAUAUUGCACAGUGGGCGGAAGCGUGAGGAAGAAACGCUGCGUGCGGGAUGACGGCCUUGGGGUUGUAAACCGCAUUCGCCUGUGACGAAGCGGGAGUGACGGUAAUGGGUAAAGAAGCACCGGCUAACUACGUG
rnacentral:rRNA from 1 species